rnacentral:lncRNA from 1 species
UUCAGUUGGUUCCUAUGGAAAUAAGUCAGUUCAUAGUUAGGGGGAGGUAAUUAAUACGAUAGUGAGAGUGGGGCUGAUAAUUCUUGCUAUGAAGAUAUAUAGAGUACUUUGCCUUCUCAAAACAAAGAGUCUCUUAUGCACGAGGAUCCAGGUACCAACUCACAAUCUCUUAGUCCUAAUGCUUUAUCUAGCACUCUAGAGCAAGGAGAUAAUCAACUGUCUACUCAGCCUCUACACCUAUAGCCCUAAGAAAGCCAACUAGAUCUACCAAUAUUCCAGCAUUGACAUUUCCAAUUUUAUCUCCUACAAGUGUUGUAGCCCAUCCUUCUAGAGUUUUGUUGCAUCUCUUGAUUCUGUACCCA